AGCAGUGUGGUGUAAUGGUGCACAUGGGAUUCCUUAGCACUUCUCACCUGAUCAACCCUGAGGUCCUUGUUCGAAUCAAGGUACUGCUC